CUUUUAGAAUAUGGAAAAUAAGGUCGAUUUCAUUUUAUCAUUUGCAUGAACACUGGGGUGUGUGUGUGUGUGUGUGUGUGUGUGUGUGUGAAUGAAUGUCUCUUGUGCAACAGGUGUCAGGGUGUCCUGUUCAGACCUGUAUAUAUGACAUGUACCACAUGCCUUUCCCACAUAGUCUACAUGACAGACCUGCAGUGACAGCAUGGGAACUCCCUCAACACACACACACACACACACACACACACAGACAUGCAGGAGAGCUCUGCAGGUUAUGGACAAAGGCAGGUGGCUGCUGGAAUUGUGUGUAGUUCCUCUUUCAUUCGCAUGAGAGGAACUCAAUCCUUCGCACAUUUCAGUCUUGGCAGCUGUGCUGAGGUGUGUGUAUGUGUACAUGCGUGGAUCUGGAUCUACGGUAACUCUUGGAAUGUGAUCAGCGUGCGUGCAGUGAGGAGACGUCGGAAUGCACUUGUUUGUUGAACCUUCAUCCCAGUGAGCUGUCUGUUUGCAGCCUUACUGACAGACAGACACAACAUACUGUUGCAAACCAACCCCCUCAGUAUCCU
rnacentral:lncRNA from 1 species